AAAAUAUUCCGAUUGCCAUGAUGAAAUGGAAAUGCUAAAUGACCUAAAAAUGAAUACAUGCAUGAGGUGUAAAGCGUAUGCUUCCAGGAAAAAUGAAGAGUAAAUUUUGGGGUAUUACUGCUGCCCCUAUUCAAUCAACUGGAGACCUGGAAAGAAGAUAGCAGCGGCUUUCGUGCUUUUGAGGUAUCAAGGGAUUGAAUACAAUAAAAGCCCGAAAAUUUGCAACUGAAGUGAAGUGAAGUAACAAUGCCUGUCAGAAUCGGCAAAGAGGUGGUCUUGAAAGAAGAAUCCGUCUGGUACGGUGAGAAACAAUAAAAGCCCGAAAAUUUGCAACUGAAGUGAAGUGAAGUAACAAUGCCUGUCAGAAUCGGCAAAGAGGUGGUCUUGAAAGAAGAAUCCGUCUGGUACGGUG
rnacentral:lncRNA from 1 species